rnacentral:rRNA from 1 species
CCUACGGGAUGCAGCAGUGGGGAAUAUUGGGCAAUGGGCGCAAGCCUGACCCAGCAACGCCGUGUGAGGGAUGAAGGUCUUCGGAUUGUAAACCUCUGUCAGAAGGGAAGAAGUGCAUGAGGUCCAAUAGGCCUUGUGUUUGACGGUACCUUCAGAGGAAGCACCGGCUAACUCCGUGCCAGCAGCCGCGGUAAUACGGAGGGUGCAAGCGUUAUUCGGAAUUACUGGGCGUAAAGCGUACGUAGGCGGCGAGGUAAGUCAGGUGUGAAAUCCCACGGCUCAACCGUGGAACUGCACUUGA